rnacentral:rRNA from 1 species
GACGAACGCUGGCGGCGCGCCUAAUACAUGCAAGUUGAGCGCUGAAGGUUGGUACUUGUACCGACUGGAUGAGCAGCGAACGGGUGAGUAACGCGUGGGGAAUCUGCCUUUGAGCGGGGGACAACAUUUGGAAACGAAUGCUAAUACCGCAUAAAAACUUUAAACACAAGUUUUAAGUUUGAAAGAUGCAAUUGCAUCACUCAAAGAUGAUCCCGCGUUGUAUUAGCUAGUUGGUGAGGUAAAGGCUCACCAAGGCGAUGAUACAUAGCCGACCUGAGAGGGUGAUCGGCCACAUUGGGACUGAGGCACGGCCCAAACUCCUACGGGAGGCAGCAGUAGGGAAUCUUCGGCAAUGGACGAAAGUCUGACCGAGCAACGCCGCGUGAGUGAAGAAGGUUUUCGGAUCGUAAAACUCUGUUGGUAGAGAAGAACGUUGGUGAGAGUGGAAAGCUCAUCAAGUGACGGUAACUACCCAGAAAGGGACGGCUAACUACGUG